rnacentral:lncRNA from 1 species
AGCUACUUGAAAAUGGUUAAGUGUAGGGACUUUAGUGGUGAUUUUUUUUUUUUUAGAAUGUGACUUGUUUGGUGGAUUAGUUACUUGAAAAUGGUUAAGUGUAGGGACUUUAGAGAUGAUUUUUUUGUGUAGAAUGUCACUUGUUUGGUGGAUUCAUUACUUGAAAAUGGUUAAGUGUAGGGACUUUAGAGUGGAUUUUUUUGUUUAGAAUGUGACUUGUUUGGUGGAUUACUUACUUGAAAAUGGUUAAGUGUAGGGACUUUGGAGGUGAUUUUUUUAUAAGUGUAGGGACUUU